rnacentral:rRNA from 1 species
GAUGAACGCUGGCGGCGUGCCUAAUACAUGCAAGUCGAACGAGUUCUUGUUAAAUGAUUGACGUGCUUGCACUGAUUGAUUUUAACGCUGAACGAGUGGCGGACGGGUGAGUAACACGUGGGUAACCUGCCCUUAAGUGGGGGAUAACAUUUGGAAACAGAUGCUAAUACCGCAUAAUUCUUCAAUCCGCAUGGAUUGAAGCUGAAAGACGGCGCAAGCUGUCACUUAAGGAUGGACCCGCGGUGCAUUAGUUAGUUGGUAGGGUAAUGGCCUACCAAGACCGUGAUGCAUAGCCGACCUGAGAGGGUGAUCGGCCACACUGGGACUGAGACACGGCCCAGACUCCUACGGGAGGCAGCAGUAGGGAAUCUUCCACAAUGGACGAAAGUCUGAUGGAGCAACGCCGCGUGAGUGAUGAAGGUUUUCGGAUCGUAAAACUCUGUUGUUGGAGAAGAACACUUCUGAGAGUAACUGUUCAGGAGAUGACGGUAUCCAACCAGAAAGCCACGGCUAACUACGUGCCAGCCGCCGCCGUAA